UACGUAGGGAGCUAGCGUUGUCCGGAUUUAUUGGGCGUAAAGAGCGUGUAGGCGGCCAGGUAGGUCCGUUGUGAAAACUCGAGGCUCAACCUCGAGACGUCGGCGGAACCCUCUGGCUAGAGUCCGGAAGAGGAGAGUGGAAUUCCCGGUGUAGCGGUGAAAUGCGCAGAUAUCGGGAAGAACACCCGUGGCGAAGGCGGCUCUCUGGGACGGUACUGACGCUGAGACGCGAAAGCGUGGGGAGC
rnacentral:rRNA from 1 species